AUUGAACGCUGGCGGCAGGCCUAACACAUGCAAGUCGACCGAGUGGCGGACGGGUGAGUAAUGUUUGGGAAACUGCCCGAUGGAGGGGGAUAACUACUGGAAACGGUAGCUAAUACCGCAUACCAUCGGAUGUGCCCAGAUGGGAUUAGCUAGUUGGUGGGGUAACGGCCCACCCAGGCGACGAUCCCUAGCUGGGCUGAGAGGAUGACCGGGCACACAGGAACUUAGACACGAUCCAGACUCCUACGGGAGGAAGAAGUGGGGAAUAUUGCACAAUGGGCUCAAGCCUGAUGCAGCCAUGCCGCGUGUAUGAAGAAGGCGUUCGGGUUAUAAAGUACUUUCAGCGAAGAGGCGUUACUCGCAGAAGAAGCAGCGGCUAACUCCGUGCCAGCAGCCGCGGUAAUAC
rnacentral:rRNA from 1 species